GUGGGGAAUUUUGGACAAUGGGCGCAAGCCUGAUCCAGCCAUGCCGCGUGCAGGAUGAAGGCCUUCGGGUUGUAAACUGCUUUUGUACGGAACGAAAAGACUCCUUCUAAUAAAGGGGGUCCAUGACGGUACCGUAAGAAUAAGCACCGGCUAACUACGUGCCAGCAGCCGCGGUAAUACGUAGGGUGCGAGCGUUAAUCGGAAUUACUGGGCGUAAAGCGUGCGCAGGCGGUUAUGUAAGACAGAUGUGAAAUCCCCGGGCUCAACCUGGGAACUGCAUUUGUGACUGCAUAGCUAGAGUACGGCAGAGGGGGAUGGAAUUCCGCGUGUAGCAGUGAAAUGCGUAGAUAUGCGGAGGAACACCGAUGGCGAAGGCAAUCCCCUGGGCCUGUACUGACGCUCAUGCACGAAAGCGUGGGGAGCAAACAGGAUUAGAAACCCCAGUAGUCC
rnacentral:rRNA from 1 species